rnacentral:rRNA from 1 species
GACGAACGCUGGCGGCGUGCUUAACACAUGCAAGUCGAACGGAAAGGCCCUGCUCUUGUGGGGUGCUCGAGUGGCGAACGGGUGAGUAACACGUAAGUAACCUGCCCUUGACUUUGGGAUAACUUCAGGAAACUGGGGCUAAUACCGGAUAGGAGCUCCUGCUGCAUGGUGGGGGUUGGAAAGUUUCGGCGGUUGGGGAUGGACUCGCGGCUUAUCAGCUUGUUGGUGGGGUAGUGGCUUACCAAGGCUUUGACGGGUAGCCGGCCUGAGAGGGUGACCGGCCACAUUGGGACUGAGAUACGGCGCAGACUGCUACGGGAGGCAGCAGUGGGGAGUAUUACACAGUGGGCGGGAGCCUGAUACAGCAGCGCCGCGUGCGGGAUGACGGCCUUCGGGUUGUGAACCGCUUUCGCCUGUGACAAAGCGUGAGUGACGGUAAUGGGUAAAGAAGCACCGGCUAACUACGUG